rnacentral:lncRNA from 1 species
GUUUUAAUGGUUUAUGACCUAUUUAACAUAGUCCAUUCAAUAACACUGUCUCAGAAGAGUAUCAUAGAGUUAUUUCCUUAAUUACUUGUUUAACAAUAAGAAAAAGGGAAGAAAACAACACUACCUCGAAGAUUGUACAGAUCCCCCAAAAUCCUGAAAUUUGAACCGCACAAUCUGGCAGAUGAAGAAAUCGCCGGUUCCAGUCUGAGAAACCCACCAAGAAAUUGUAAACAAAAAAUAGCUCCGAGAAAGAAAAGGAGAAUCAAUGAAAGAAAUCAAACCUUGUCUGGAAAUGCAUUCUGAUAACGACGAUCGUUGGGAAAGUGAAGAAUCGCGACAUACGAAUGAACGAUUGCGUCAUCACUUGACACCAAUAAAAGAUUUAAAGUGUAGGGUUUAGUGACUUAGGGUUUCAGACUUUGUUUUGUCACUUUGCGUUGGAGGAGAUACGAUGCUCCUGAGGAAUCGAUUGUAGUCAAACAAAAGAGCGAAAGAAUGGGACGGGUCGGUUUCCACCCGAGGUCCGAUUCGCAAAUUAGUAAACUUUAUAAGCCCUUGUUUACAAAAAAAACUUAUAAGCCAAAUGAUUAAUAUUAUUGUUAAGCAUAGUUAGUUAAAUAGUUAGAGGUUGUUAGUUAAAUCCUCAAUGUAAUUAAUUAAUCGUUCACUUCCACAUACAGUUAAUUCAGCUUUGACUCUCAACUGAAAUAAUAUCCUUUUAGUCAAGAGAAUUAAUUUCCCCCAAUUGUCAGUCAAUGCUGACUUCCGACGCCCUAAUUUAUCCGGUCAUCGUCGACGUCAGUUCAGUUGAAUAAAACAAUGAUGCAUGGUUCCGAGAUGAUGAGUUUCGUGGAUUAAAAAAUUAAAUAAACGACCUCACCGUCGAUCGGAUUGAAAAUACCUCCUUCUAAAGUCAAUGAAAAAAUUGUGUUUUAUAGUUUUAUUAUCUCCGUUAUAUUAUUUAUCUCAUAAGAUUAAAUGAUGAUGUGCGAAGAAAAGACAAUAGUCAAACACACUAACCACAUAUAAGAUCACAUUUAAUAAACAACACAGACAGAUUGAGCGGUGAAGAUGCUGUUGAGUUUUUUUUUUUUAAUAAGCUACGAGAUAUAUAUAUAUAUUGAGAUUCAAACUCUGAAUAUCCAACAAUCUAACUACUUUAAUAAUGACAGUUAAUAGUUGAAUUAUGAGAAGAGACAGAGUAUAAAGAUUAAACGACAGCUCACCUAUUUUUCAAUUGCGACUUUGAUUGGACUCUUUAGAGAAAUUUACACGAUUGACAAAUUAUACUUUAUAAAAGAUUAUGAGUAUCACAGCGAUAAAGCAAGGAGACAUAAGGGUGAGUGAUCAAUAUCAUAAAAUGGAUAUUCAAAUUCAGAAAGUCAACACCAUGAUGGGGUCUAGAUUGGAAUACACUCGCAAUAUAUAUAUAUAUAGCAUCUUUGGAGGGAGAAAAAUCUACGACAUAAAGAGGAGCUCUCUCGGCCGGUUAUGGUCAUUGCAAGGGAUUAUAUACGGGAUUUGACUAUCAUCUAUAACCACCGCCUAUACAAAAAAUCGCACAGGCUAAGUUUGGAAGAUACAACUAUCAAAAGGUGGGAAGAAGUGUCGCUAUUGGUUACUGGCUUAUAAGUCGAGGAUUAACAAGAUAUACAUAUUCUACACAUCCUAUCGUACUUUUAGUUGUUAUUUAAUUAUUCUCUUAUUGUAGUUUUGUAAUCUCUUUAUUUUAUUUUAUUUUUAAUCUAAAUCGCCUUAAAAAGAAAAGAGUAUAAAGAUUAGAAUCAAAUGGAGAAUAUUGAUAGGAUGACCAAUUGUGUAGUUUACUAUGUAAGAAUCUUAUCUCAUGGAUUGAGAUCUGUGUUUGAAAGUAAAAAACACGAUAUGACAAGUCAUUUAUAAGUAGUGGAUUGAAAAGUGAUGUAAGGUUUUCUCUAAAAAAAAUAAAAUGUCAGGAGCACACCAGAGUUUUUUUACCCAACAAUUGUCUAGGCUCAUUACAUAUAUAGGAACGAUACAGACAUACUCUUUUUAAGAACUAAUUGUCAGUCUCCAAAGGUUAUGAAGAUCAAAUAGAUCGUAAAAUUCGGAUCAAUACGAAGGCACUUAUCGCUUUUUUUUUUGUUUUAAAAUUAAUAUGAUUGUCAAAUUUCAAAAAAAAGAAUCAAAAGAGAGUUUCAAACAUUUAUUGAAGUUAUUAAUUAAUAACACCUAAAAUUCAACUUGAUAUAAUUAUAUAGAACAUAACAAUUACAUUAGUACAGUUUCAAUUGCUUAGAUUAAGAGGCAGUGGUUAUGAUUUAUAAUUGUGUUUAGAAUGUAAUUAUUGAAAUAAUGCAUGUGUCCAUGUGUGAUGUGUUUAUGUAUGACCGACCCAUCAUAACCUCUUCAAUCCUCACCCAUGGAAAGACAUAUUGGAUAUUGUGGCGGUGUUUCGCAAUAUUGAUCCUUUAAGACUUUAAUUUUCCUCCCUUCUUCUUCCUCCCUCUUCGAUCCUACCUGUGAAUCUUUGAUCACGACCACCAUUGUUAAUGCUUAACAACCCAUUUACUCUUCCACAAGACGACCACUGACCCCAAGUGCCUAUUUUGCCAUAGCUCUCCUGUCACUCACGGCGUUCCCUCUUCCGCCUCCCCGUUAUACAUGCAACCCAGAACCCACAUACAAAUCAUACUAGGUUUUUCUAGCUAUAAAACCCAUCUGCAUCUGCAUCUGCAUCAGCAUCCUCUUAAGUCUUUCAGAUCUAGACACUUGUUUAAUUGAUCUCUGUUUUUCUCCCCCUUUCCACCGCCCUGGUGUUUAAAUGGAAGAGACCAGACAACCAUCUGUGGGUUUCACCGGCGUAAACGACAACCAAUUUAACACUACCCAACCCAUUUCUUCGGUUUUGACCAGUACCAGCAACACCACCACCGUUGCUGCUGCUGCUGUUACUCUCUUGGCACCUAGAUACGGUGUCAACGGGUCUUCAGACGUUGGUGGUAAGGAUACGGUUAAGGUUUUAUCUGAUCCGGUCGUCAGAUCCAUCGGUGCAACUUCGGCUGGUAUGGACACUUCGUUGGCUGCGGCGAGGAUUAGUGAAGUGCCAAUUAAAAAUGAAGUGGAUUCGACGAGGUACCGUGAAUGUCUCCGUAAUCAUGCUGCCAGUGUCGGAGGACACGUUGUGGAUGGUUGUGGAGAGUUUAUGCCGGGAGAAGAAAUGGAUUUUCUCAAGUGUUCUGUUUGCGGUUGUCACCGGAGUUUCCAUCGGAAAGAAAUCGAUGGGAGUAUUGCAGGUACCAUCACUCCACGUCCGUAUUACUACAAACACCAUGCUGCAAACGGAGGUGAUGGGGUCCACUGGAGGAUAAAUGAAGGACCGUCGUCGCUCCCACUUCUUGCCCUUCCGCCUCCACAAGCAGGAAGUCGUCCACCGUAUAACCCAAUUCCCGUGACUUCUUUUCCCGGAUGCAGUGCAGGGGCGACUGCAAUGGACUCUUCGAGCGAAGAACACGAUGCUCACCCGCCGCAUCUGACGGCGGCCAACUGGAAUAGAGAAGGACUGAAACACCACGGACAAGGGUUUAUGCCGAUACCUCCCCCAGCCUGUUUAUUUUCGAGAAAAAGACACCGGACGAAAUUCACAUCGGAUCAGAAGGAGAAAAUGUUGGAGUUUGCCGAGAGUUUAGGUUGGAGAAUAAACCAAGAGGAGGAGAUCGCGUUGCAGAGGUUCUGCGCCGAAAUUGGGUUGUCGAGAAAAGUAUUCAAAGUCUGGAUGCACAACAACAAACACGUAUCAUCAACAUCCGCAUCUUCCAGAAGAUCACCGCUCCCUCCACCGCCCUCGACCGAGAAGCAACAACAGUCCGAAGUAGAUCCAUCACCAUCAACGACAUUGUGACGAAGAUGAAGAAGAAGAAGAAGAAAAGUAACGAAGAACAACGUAGUUAUUAUUAAUCUUCUCAUCAUUAGAAAGAGGUUAACCUAAUGCUAAUAGUAGAUUCCGCAUGCAUCGAUUCUAGGGAACACGUUAACCUUUUUUGAACCAACGACUUGUCAACAGCGGCAAGAAAGCGGUCCUCCGAACUCCGGUGAAGCACGGUUUCUUCCACAGUUUCUUCCGACGUUUGUACGUUAAUGUACAUUUUUAAGAAUGCAUUGAUUGUGAAUUAAAUAUUGGUAAACCCUAAUCUUGUUUCUCUGGUCUUUGUCAUUGAUUGAUUCAUUCUUCCGGUGCUUGAGAUAGAUAUAUGUGGUGGUCCUCUGUGUCGAUGUGUCUGGUGGUCUUGGUCUUAGAGAAGUCGUAGCAACUGGCAAGCACCAAACAGUGAUGAUGAUAGCUGCAGAAAUGGCAGACACAGUAAGCAUUAUUAGUCAACGAGCUUCCAUAUCUGGUCGUCCCACACUCGUACCGUAGUGCUCUCCUUUAAUUCUUGCAUCUGAAAAUAUGAGUGAGUACCGAAACUGUCUGGUGGCAUGCACUCCAAAAAUACUGUCUUCUUUUUCCUAAAGUCUUUAUUACAUUCAAUUCCACUUGCCUUUUACUGCAACUGCUGUUCGUACCUACUUUACUUACUAUCUUCCUUAAAUUCUUAAUCCAAAUCUAAUUUCAUUACUACAUAUAUAGUAGAUAUUAAGAUAUCCAUGGACCAAAAACAACUUCAUUCUUCUUCAGAUCAUGCUAUUUGUCACUUGGAUUAACACUUAUAACUCUCAUGCUGCCUUCUCACUUCGAUGUUUCAUCUUUUACUAGUUUUCCAACACUUGUUUCACCUUCUUAAUCAAUAUUCAAUUCUCAUCACCAAACCGCAAUCAUCGUCGCUUGCACUGCAAUAUCUUCUUCCCAGCCCAGCCCAGCCCACCGACCACACUUGUCCAUGUUACUUCGUCUCAGGACUACUACAUGGCUCUAAUUUAUCAAAUUUCGUUACAUCCAUACCUCUCUCUGCACAACAAUUUAGAACGUGUCAAAAUUAUUUUCUAAAACCUAGUGAGGUCCGAUAAUUCUUAUUUAGGUCAUCGGCUUGGUUGAGCCUUAUAUCCAAACACAAAUUUUCUUAAAACGAACCGAGCCCGAGCUCGCCCAAACCAGGCUCGAGCUACUCCUUAACGAGCCGAGCCCGAGCUCGGCGAGCUCGAGUCCGAACCUGGAUAACUCCUUAACGAGCUGAGCCCGAGCCUGGAUAACUCCUUAACGAACUGAGCCCGAGUCUGGCUAUUCUUAAAACGAGCCGAGCUCGAGCCUGGAUAAUUCCUUAACGAACCGAACUCGAGCCUGGAUAACUCCUUAACGAACCGAGCCCGAGUCUGGCUAUUCUUAAAACGAGCCGAGCUCGAGCCUGGAUAACUCCUUAACGAGCCCGAGUCUGGCUCUAUAAGCAAAAGCUCGGCUCGGCUCGUUUGACACCCUAUGUAUAAGCAUCAAAUGAUAAUAAAAUGUAUUUAAAGAACUAAAUGUAGACGGAAAAAAUAAAAGAUACAGACAGACGUUAGUAGACCUCUUGAGAUAGUUAUUAAGGAGGUUAUUAAAAAAAUCAAUCUCUCAUUUGAUUCAGUAUAUUACAAAAAGAGAUGUUUUUACCAUUUGAAAACAUCUAUGAUAAAAGUAUUAGAGAUCAGCUUUAUGAGACAGCGUAUUUAAUUACUGUAUAACUAGAUUACAUAGUUAAUAAAAGAGAGUCAAUGAGUUUUUGUUUAUUUUGUUUACUUAUGUUUUUAUUUUUAUCCUUUAUGUAAAUUGAACAUUGUAAAUUUAGAAUCUUUAACUGUCUAUAUUUAAAUAAAGAUAUUUUGAUAAUAAAAUGUGAUUAUUAUUUAGUUGUGUGAAUAAUUAAAUUCCUUGAUGAUAUACAGGAAAUUGGGUUUAACAUAAAAAUAACAUUUGACGUACGUCGUCAUCAAAUCAUCUGAUGGUAGUUAGAGAAGUUGGAUCUGAAGAAACGAAGAUCGCGCCCAGCCCCAAAAUCCAGAAGUUAGGUCAAACCGUCCAACCCGAUUACAGAUCCGGCCAAGGAAGUACCAGGGAUUCAUCACUGAUUUCAGGUCCAUCCGACAUCAACGUCGAGUACGCUCCCGGCCGUCCUCCAUCCCGACGUCCUCGUCGUUAUUAGAUUUCAAUCUAAGGAAUUGAGAACUAGGUUUUGUCGGUUGAUUUCGUUCUGAAUUAAUUCAAACUACAUUAUUUGAAAUAUCGAUGACAGUAUAAGUCUUGCAUCUUCUUGGAACUGCAUGAUCGGCGAUGAAGUGAGGAGAUUGUGUUUUAUGUUUUAACAAAAGUGGUCGUUAUCUGUUUGGGUCAUCGCGCCAUAAAACGACAGAGAUGAGAAUAUGAGAUAAUAAAAAAGAACAUGAUGCAUGAUUCUUCCAUGAAUGAUGAAAUCAUAUGCAUCGAAAUAAAAUAAAAUAAAAUAAAAUAAACUUGUUAACGAAGAUCGAUCGAUGUGAUCAGUGGUUGUUUGGAUCGAUUACAGAAAGCGAAAGAGAAGAAUGAAAGGAAUUAAAGCAUGAGAUUCUCUCUUCUUUUUAAUAUUCUUGUAUAGUAUUCCUCAGUCAUCAGGUACAGAUACAGUACAACAGAUCGAUCUCUCAUGCCUUACUAACAAUCAAUGCUUGAAAAGAAGAGAGAGUUAAAAAGUAAACAGACCAACAGACAUACAAGAACACCUACCAAGAGUCCAAGACCGAUGAGUGCGACUACCUACCUCUACCUACCUCUACCUACCUGCUACCUGAUAAUUAAUCUUUGCUAAACUUAAAUUCAAGGAUGGAUUGAUUGAUUGAUUAUGGUAGUAGUGUUUGAUCAACUGAUCAAGUAUUGCGAUCGAUGAUGAUUGUGUUAUAUAUUUUAUAAGCACCACGAAUAGUAAGGUAUUGGAGUAUGUUCGUCUGACAUGGAGCUUGUUUGUUGGGCAUUAUUCUUCCGAAUAGCACCAUUACCACCACUCAUCACCGGCUGGUAAGCAGCAGUCCAUGGGUUGACGUGGACCGUCGCCGGUGCCCCUCCUCCGAUAGCUGUUGCCGCCGCUGCCAGUCUUUCUUCCUUCUUAUAUCGGAUACCACAUGCAUUGCAAAGAGACUGCAUUGUAAGAAGAGAACAAAAGGAGUAAAUUAACGUCAACGAACGUGUACGAGAUUAAAAAAAAACACUGCUAUUUAAAUCAAUCGUACGUACCUUGGGACCACGAGGACCAUUCCUCCAUAGAGGAGUGGAGGUUGUGUCACAGUUGGCACAUCUACGAGGAAGAAGAAAAUCAGCAACAGCAGCAGAACCUCCUCCUCCUCCUCCUCCUCCUCGACCGAUCGAUCCAUUAUUACAUGGAGAAGAAGGAGACUGUUUCGACUGUUUCGAGCGUGACCGGACAUCCCAAUAGAUCUUCGGCACUGAGGUCGAUGAACCGGUGAUCCUUGUACUCUGACGACUGGACGCUGGUCCAAGAGAAAGAGUGCAAUCUACUGGCGAAGAACAGGAAGAAGAAGAUGAAGAGUAGUAAGUGUAUGGAUCACUCAUAAACUCUUCUUCCGUGGUUGCAUUAAUAUUAUUACUGUUGAUGUUGGCCGUGGUCAUGUCAUUGCCGUUGGGGACGUCGAAUAGGAUGGUGAAGUCAUUGGUGCUGUUGCUUCCACGACGAAACAUGGUUCAAAAAACUGGAGAUCGAUCUAGGAUUUGUCGAGCCUUAAAGAAUAACAAGGUGGCUGGUGCUUAAAUAGAAGAAGCAGAAGCCAUGGAAGAUCGAACCAACAACGACCGACCACCAGACCGAGAUAUUUAAGCACAGCUUUUGACGUGCCUAGUUCCACCUGAUGUUUAAUUUGCAACUACAUCCUUUUUUAAUCCACUUAAUAACAGAUGAGUCAAUCGAUGCUCACAACUGACAACUGACAGAUCAGACUUAUAAUUAGUUGGAACUAUGCCGAUCGAUAUAACUAAUUACACCAAUCAAACAUCACGUAGCAUGUCAAUUUGGAACACGACUAGUUAUUGAAACGAUUAAUUAAACUAGUUAGUUGAGUUACUUGAGUGGUCGUGUUUUGUACUUUGGGGACAACUUAUUUAGAGAGAGAAGAGGAAAAGAGUAUAUAAAUAUAGAAGGCUAAAAAAAAAUCCAAGUCUAUAUGAUUAUAGGAGGAGAGGAUCGAGAAGAAGGUGUAAGAAUCGAAGAAUGGUCAGAGAUGAGUGAUGGAUGGAUGGAUGGAUGAGUUGGGUCUUUGAGCAGUCAAAAGCAGUCCACGUGACACGGAGGAUUGAGGAGGCCAGGAGAAUGAGGAAGGAAGAAGAAGAUCUAGGAAGAGGAGGAGGAACAGUCUUCCAUAUAUACCACCAGCUAGCUCUCUGGGCGGGCCCUAGAUUCUCAGAUUGCAUGCAUCUUCGCAAUGGGAUUGGGCAUUGGCUGUGGGAAAAGAAAGCAACGGAGGAGGGUGUGUUAAUUUCUUGGUGUCUCUGUUAUCGAGAGAUUCUGGAGCAUAGUAUAUACCAAAGAACAUCUAUCCAACAGAGAUCGCUUCCAUGUACAGUUGUACGUUAAGUCCAACCAACCACUUCUUCCAUCGAUCGUUGUUGCAUGUAUUUAGAUGUUGAUGGAUGGAUUGAGACCAGAAAGGGAUGGAUCUUGCUUGUUUGGUCAGAUCAGUUGUGAUCAGUCAGCUCAUCCAUCCAUCAAGAUUCAAGACUGCCUGAGAUCGAGAAUAUAGAUCAUGCCUAUUCUUUUUCGCGCUUCUUUAUGCAUGGGUACUAACGAAGGAAUGAAGGAAGAAAAGAUAAAGAUAAAUAAAAAGAAAGAAACAAAAUUAAAGAAAAGAAAAGAAGAAAAAAAAAAAAGAGAUGGAGUGAAGACCGCAAUCUUAUAUAUUCAUUGGAUUGCUUUUCUCAACCCGCUGGAUCUUGGUUCAAACAACCACCGUCUGUCUGUCUUGUUCAACCAUGCUUUUCUACGUCUCCUUCAAGGUUCCCAAUUAUCCAUGGGUAAGCGUAAGCCUACCUACCAACGAUCCAGAUUAUAGGGCUAGCUUCUUUAACCAAUAUUACAAAUUAAAUACUACUGUUGUAAUUAGUGAAAUGUUAAUAACAAACCUCUUAGUAUAUAUUGUUAACAGACAAAUAUACAUAUUAAUUAUAGUCAACUGGAUUAUUCUAAUAAUUAGUUAGUUAGUUUUGUUCUUUCAAUAUAUUUGUUUGUAUUGUAAACUCAAUCUUUACAUUUUAAGUUUUGGGUAUUCAAUUUUAUUUUCUUUGCAUUAAUCAAAUUCCACAAGAUCUUCUGUUUUCAUAUCAUCAGAUUGAGCAAACUCAUAUUAUAUCAGUUAAGCUCUCUUUUGAUCGUAUUUAAGAUUAACUUGCAUGCUUUUGUUCCUCUUGUUGGAUAUGGCGACGAUAAGUACUACGAGUUCUUCAGUAUUGGUUCUUCCAUUCCAGAAAGCAUUUACCGAUUUCAUGUUGGACAAUGGAUACGGAUUCUCUUUGAACGUAUACGUGGAAAUCUAUCUUUUUUGAAGGGCGUAAUUUUUGAACAUUCUUGAAAUUCAUCACCUUCAAGAUAUAUCAUCGACAACUCCAUAACGAUUCCUGCUAAGAAACAUGCAGACGGGUUAAUUAACCCAAAGUAUGCUACAUGGAAGGAGAAGAAUUGUACGUUAUCCUUAUUGCGACGGUAUUCAAUCAAUCUGGGAUCGAUAAUCUGUAUUUUCAGUAAAUCGUAAUGUUGAUUACAAUGUGUAUAUAUUUAUAUUGGAAAAUAGUUAGUUAUAAUAACUACUAGUUUUGUAUUGGAAAAUAGUUAGUUAUAAUAACUACUAGUUUUGUAUCUAAACGGAUUAGAUUUGCCUAAUCUGUAACACCCCCCUCAAGUGGAGCGGGAAUUAUGUCGAGCACUUGGAUGCAAAAGCUUCGAAAGCAGGUCUCGGAAGCGCCUUGGUCAGAAUUGAAGGUCUGCAAUUUGAUCUCGUGUACCCACAAAUCUUACUUCCAAUAUUUUCUACUUUACUCGUUCCCUUACGAAAUGGUAGUUCAUAGCGAAGUGUUUGGAUCUCAUAUGGUGACUGAGAUAUCUGGAAAGCGCAAUUGCCCCAGAGUUAUCUCACCAUACUAUAACCAGGAGAGACAUCGGACUUCCCAAGUCAAACAAUAAUUGUUUAAUCCAUUCCGGUUUAGCAACAGUAUCUGCCACACUCUGAUAUUCAACCUCGGUAGUUGAUCUGGCCACCGACGAUUGCUUCUUGGAGCUUCACGAAAUCAGAUUAGAACCUAAGUAGAUUAGGUAUGCUCCUUGGCUGCGACUAUCCCGAUGGUCUUCCCCCCAGUCCGCUUCAAAGAAUACAGUGAGAGUCGAUAGGCUUGACCUUGUAAACCGUAAUCCGAGCUCGGAAUAAUGUUCCAGACACAAAACGUAAAAUAUGUUUCACUACUUGCCAGUGAAUCACCGUUGGACGUUCUUGCAUAAAUUGGGAGACUUUGUUGACCGGAAACGCAAGAUCCAGGCGUGUAAUAAUCGUGAGGUAUUGAAGUGCACCGACAACUUGUCUGAAUAAUGUAGGUGUUUCAAAAGAUGCCGCAGAUUCAUACAUUUUCAAUCGAAGAUCCAUGGGUGUGGCUGUUGGCUUGACGUCUGAUAGAUCUACCUUUUCAAGAAUCGAGCAGGCGUAUUGAUGUUGUGUCAAAAACAGGGAACCAUCUUUGACGCGAUCAAUAUGAAUGCCUAAAAAAUGAUGUAAAUCACCGAGUAUUUUAAUUGGAAAUAUCUUUGUUAAGCGAUCAAUUGUUUUUCGGGCAAACUCAUCUUAAGAACUUGUCAAUGUAGACGAGAAAUAGAGCUUCAAUUCCGCCCACCUUGUAAAUAAAAAGCGAGUGAUCACUUUUGCUUUCUGUGAAUCUUAGCUGAAUCAUAACAUCUUGGAGCCGCUGAAACCACGUCCUCGGAGAUUGUUUUAAUCUGUAGAUGGAAUUUUUCAGUCAACAGAUAUGUGUGGGCCACUACAAAAAACCAGCGCAGUUCUGGCGGCAAAUUCCGGCGGCCUGGCCGCCGGUAUAAUGGUUCCUGGCGGCCAAGCCGACGACAUUCCAUCGCCGGAAGUGAUGUCGCCGGAAUUGUGAAAUCCUGGCGGCUUGGCCGACGGGAAAAAAAUUUGGAUUCCGAUUUUAACAGAAAUUGUCCCGGCGGCUUAGUCGCCGACUUUUUUUUUUUGAAAAUUAUAUCCCGGCGGCCAGGCCGCCGGCUGUUAUUUUUGGAAAAUAAUUUUCCGGCGGCUUAGUCGCCGACUUUUUUUUUUUGGGAAAUAAUUUUCCGGCGGCCAGGCCGCUGGCAGUUAUUUUUGGGAAAUAAUUUUCCGACGGCCAGGCCGCUGGCAGUUAUUUUAGGGAAAUAAUUUUUCCGGCGGCCUGGCCGCUGGCAGUUAUUUUUGGGAAAUAAUUUUCCGGCGGCCAGGCCGCUGGAACUUAUUUUAGGAAAAUAAUUUUUCCGGCGGCCUGGCCGCUGGUUCAAUUUGAAAAAUAAAAAAAAAAUUGAAAUUAAUAUGAAAUUGAAAAUAAAAUUAAAAAUUAGAAAUUAAAAAUGAAAUUGAUAUUAAAAUUGAUAUUAAAAUUGAUAUUAAAAUUGAUAUUAAAAUUGAAAUUGAAUUCGAAGUUUAAUAAUUUAUGUAUAACAGAAAUUAACUACGACAGUAACUAAUUUAACUUCUUUUUUUCGCUCUUUUUCUUCUUCUUGGUUCCGACCACCUUUCGUAGCGCUUCUUUCGUAAAUAUUAUCGAUCUACCUGCGCGCGAAGAGGUGUGCUCUUCUUGUGGCGUAGUCGGUGUUUCUUGCGUUGUUGGUAGUUGAGUAGUCGGUGCGGCGGCUCUAGAAGAUGACGCUCCAGGAGUAUACAUGUUUUGCGCUGCAUCGUUGUUGAACAUUGUCGGAAACUCUGGUAAGCGCAUGUUUGGAUUUUGAGCGAGCAUUGCGGAGUUGUAUUGUUGGAAGAACGCCAUUUGACGAGUCAUGAAUUCUUCAUUCUUACGAGCCAACUAUUCAUUCUUACGAGCCAAGUCUUCAUUCUGACGAACCAUCGCCUCAUGAUUC